AGAAGAACAAAGUGGUAUGUGAA
rnacentral:siRNA from 1 species